AGAGAGUCGAACCUAAGCCUCCGACUUGUGGAGAGGGUUCACUUGUGCGAAUGACACAAGUUUCCUUUUUGGUUGUUUUCUUUAUUUUAUUUGUAACCGUUCAUUUAUUUGAGAUUGAAUCUCGACCCUCGAAGGUCAUGGCUGAAGGACUAUUAAUAAAGUCCCAUUCGCAGCCUUGUAGUCACGUUUUUAACCUAGAUCAAUAAAGUUGCAUUUUCUUCUCUUGCGCCGUUUGCGAGUUGAGAGUUCUUACGCGAGUAUUCUUGAGUGGUUUCCCCUUGAAUCAACCCGUGUGAGCUUGUUACUUAGUUGAUCGAACCCCCUUGCUUCCCCUAAGCUUCCUUGUUCCAUUGAGUUCGUCUUGUUUGCGGUUAUAUCGAGAGAGAGCGAAGGCCAACUCGAUCGACCCUAGUUCGUGCGUACGUGUGUCCCUUGGAGCGUAUAUCAUCUGGUAUCAGAGCCGAAAGGUUCUACACCCUAGGUUGUAUCCCUCCUUUACUUUCGUUUUAGUUUUUGUUUCGUUCAUCUUAAGUCAAAAAAAAUAAAAAAAAGUAAUAGUAUCUCGUAGUUGCACUUGUUUCGAUUGUUAAGUUGUUAGUUUCGAUUUGCAUCACCUAUAUUUAAAAAAAGAAAAAAAAAAUAGUUAGUAGUAAUCUUGUAGUUGUGUGAGUUAAUCGUUAGUUAAGUUCAAAAAAAAAAAAAAAAGAAAUUGUCAGUUUUCAGUUUGCUCUUGUUCGAAUUCCGUUUAUUACCCGUUCGUUGAUACUUGCUGUUUUUGUCACUUCUUUUGCAUCCGCAGAUGGAGAACAACGCCGAAGCUCCCUUGGACCCUNNNNNNNNNNNNNNNNNNNNNNNNNNNNNNNNNNNNNNNNNNNNNNNNNNNNNNNNNNNNNNNNNNNNNNNNNNNNNNNNNNNNNNNNNNNNNNNNNNNNNNNNNNNNNNNNNGCGAGCACCGAAUGAAGGCGUGUACGAACAAGGAGAACCCCAUGUCGGACCCCAAAGGAGAGACCCGGUUCAUAGAGGACGGGAGAGAGACGAAAAUCCACCCCACCAAAUGGUUGACCCGAAGCUUACGGCGCCUACCUUUGCCGGACGAGUCGACCCCGAUGCCUACCUUGAUUGGGAGAAGCGGAUGGAAAACAUCUUCUCUUGUUACAACUACAACGACCAGAAGCGAGUGACGUUUGCUGCGGCCCAAUUCACCCACAAUGCUUUGGCUUGGUGGGAUAGAGACGUAGCCGAACGAAGAAGGCACCAUUUUGACCAAAUACGAACAUGGAACGAGAUGAAGUUCUGUCUAAGAAAGAGGUAUGUGCCUACUUAUUUCCAUAGGGACUUACAAAAACGUCUUCGUAAGUUGGUGCAGGGAAAUAAAACGGUCGAAGAAUACUAUGAGGAAUUUGAGCAGCUUAUCAACCGGUUGGAGACCGAAGAAUCGGAGGAGACUCUCAUGGCUCAGUUCAUAGAAGGACUUCAAGAACGAAUCUCUUGCAAGGUGGAAAGGCAACCCUAUCAUGACUUGCAAGAAGUGGUACAUUUAGCUAUUCAAGCCGAGCAACAUAUUAGACGAAAGGUGGCAACCGUUAGCCGAGUUAAAGUCAAUCCGUGGACUCCGGGAACUUCUAAGCCACCGGACAAAGGCAAAGCGAUCGAGGUGGACUCGCGGUUUAAGAAGAAUACGGUGGAAAACUCCAAGGCUCCAAUCCGACCGGAAGCAAGUAAAGCCGUUUCUACUAACCGUUCUCGAGAUAUAAUUUGUUUUAAAUGUCAGGGACGCGGACAUAUGGCGAGAGAAUGCCCUAACCAACGAGUCAUGAUCAUAACCACCAACGGUUACGAGUCCCAAGAUGAACCGGAGGAAGAUACUAGCGACCCGGACGACGGAAUUGAAUACCCGGACGUAGGUGAACUUUUGGUCAUUCGUCGGGCGCUCAACAUGACGGUUAACCCGGAAGAAACCGUACAACGGGAAAACAUAUUCCAUACAAGAUGCACCGUGAGCAACAAGGUAUGUAGUCUCAUUAUCGACGGUGGUUCUUGUACUAACGUGGCUAGCAAGUUAUUGGUCGACAAGUUAGGUCUACCCACGAGAAAGCAUCCGCGACCGUAUAAGUUAAGGUGGCUUAAUGACACCGUGGAGCUCAAGAUCGCUGAACAAGCCACGGUGAACUUUAGUAUAGGCAAGUAUCACGACGAGGUCUUAUGUGAUGUUGUGCCUAUGCAAGCCGGGCAUCUCCUACUCGGAAGACCUUGGCAAUACGACCAUGAAACCUUGCAUAACGGGCGUACCAACUACUACACGUUCAUGCAUAACAAGCGGAAGGUUACUCUAGCCCCACUCACACCCUCCGAGGUACAUGAUUUACAACGUAAGAUGAGCAAGGAUGCCCCGGUAAGUAAGGCUAGUCUCUUUGUAUCUUCUAACACGGUUGGUAAGGUUUUAAACUCCAAACACACCGUGCUACUUAUGAUCUUCAAAGAAAGUAUGUUUUCAGGACUAGAGUGUCUAGACUUGCCCGCCGAAGUGAGUACCAUGCUUAAGCAAUUUGAAGAUGUAUUUCCCGAAGAAAUUCCAUCCGGCUUACCUCCGAUCCGUGGAAUCGAACACCAAAUUGAUCUCGUCCCUGGAUCCGCCUUACCAAACCGGCCCGCAUAUAAGAUGAACCCCACGGAAGCUAAGGAGUUAGAAUCACAAGUUCAAGACCUCAUGUCGAAGGGUUACAUCCGUGAGAGUCUUAGCCCUUGUGCCGUGCCCGUGUUGUUAGUACCUAAGAAAGACGGGACGUGGAGAAUGUGCGUGGACUGCCGAGCUAUCAACAACAUUACCAUCAAGUACCGACACCCCAUUCCUCGCCUCGACGACAUGUUAGAUGAACUUGAUGGAGCCACUAUCUUUUCGAAGAUAGACUUGAAGAGUGGAUAUCACCAAGUCCGCAUGAAAGAAGGAGACGAAUGGAAGACCGCGUUUAAAACCAAGCAAGGCCUCUACGAGUGGCUAGUCAUGCCGUUCGGCCUUACCAACGCCCCAAGUACAUUCAUGCGACUCAUGAAUCAUGUCUUAAGGGCCUACAUUUNNNNNNNNNNNNNNNNNNNNNNNNNNNNNNNNNNNNNNNNNNNNNNNNNNNNNNNNNNNNNNNNNNNNNNNNNNNNNNNNNNNNNNNNNNNNNNNNNNNNAACUAGUCUUUUUAGGUUUUGUUGUAAGUUCACAGGGCAUACAGGUUGAUCAAGAAAAGAUUAAAGCCAUAGAAGAAUGGCCGACUCCCACUACCAUUGGUCAUGUUCGAAGUUUUCAUGGGCUGGCUAGUUUUUAUAGACGUUUUGUGAAGGAUUUCAGCACCGUAGCUGCACCCCUUACCGCCGUGAUCAAGAAGCAUGUAGCAUUUUCAUGGGGAUAAGCUCAAGAGAGAGCUUUCCGGGAGCUUAAAGAUCGUUUAACGCAUGCUCCUAUUUUAGCUUUACCUAACUUUGACAAAACUUUUGAGGUUGAAUGUGAUGCUUCAGGAUUAGGUAUUGGAGCGGUUCUUACCCAAGGAGGACGCCCUAUAGCUUACUUUAGCGAGAAGUUAAGCGGAGCUACACUCAAUUACCCGACGUAUGAUAAGGAGCUUUAUGCAUUGGUCCGAUCGUUGGAAGUUUGGCAACAUUACUUGUUAGCCAAGGAAUUUGUGAUCCAUACCGACCAUGAGACGUUGAAGCACCUUCGAGGCCAAACUACGCUAAAGAGAAGGCAUGCUCGGUGGCUAGAGUUCGUAGAGACUUUUCCGUACAUCAUCAAAUACAAGAAAGGAAAAGAAAACAUUGUAGCCGAUGCACUUUCGCGUCGACAUGCUCUCAUCACCACCAUGGACGCUAAAGUUUUAGGGUUUGAACACGUAAAGAUUGCUUAUCUAGAAGAUACCGACUUUGGAUCCAUCUUCAAGGAGUGUGACAAGGCAGCUUUCGGACCCUACUACAAGCAUGACGGCUACUUAUUCCGAGAUAAGCGACUAUGCAUACCCCAAGGAUCGAUGCGGGAGCUUAUCACCCGAGAAGCACAUAGUGGAGGACUCAUGGGCCAUUUUGGAGUAGACAAGACCAUGGCUAUACUUGCGGAACAUUUCUUCUGGCCACAUAUGAGGAAAGACGUCGAACGAUUUUGCGCAAAAUGCAUCACUUGCCUCUGCGCUAAAUCCAGGUCACACCCCCAUGGUUUAUAUAUGCCUUUACCUAUUCCUAAUGCUCCAUGGGAGGAUAUUUCUAUGGAUUUUGUCUUAGGUUUGCCAAAGAUUCAACAUAAAGACNNNNNNNNNNNNNNNNNNNNNNNNNNNNNNNNNNNNNNNNNNNNNNNNNNNNNNNNNNNNNNNNNNNNNNNNNNNNNNNNNNNNNNNNNNNNNNNNNNNNAAAGAAGUAGUGCGCAUACACGGAGUGCCUCGAACCAUUGUCUCCGACCGAGACACCAAGUUCAUGAGCCAUUUUUGGAGGACGUUAUGGCGAAAACUUGGAACCAAACUCCUUUUCUCCACCACUUGCCAUCCCCAAACGGACGGCCAAACCGAGGUUGUAAACCGUACUCUAUCAACUUUACUUAGAGUAACGGUCGGUAAGAACCCUCGAAACUGGUUGGAAUGUUUACCGUACAUUGAAUUUGCUUAUAACCGAGCUACUCAUUCCACUUCUAAGUUUUGUCCUUUUGAAGUUGUUUACGGCUUUAAACCAUUAACCCCGCUAGAUUUAGCACCACUACCCCCGGGAUCACGAACCGAUCAAGACGGUAAACGCAAGGCGGAAUUGGUUCAAAAGCUACAUCAAACCGUUAAGGAGAACUUGGAGAAAAAGACGGAAAAAUACAAGCAACGGGUGGACAAGAACCGCAAAGAAGUCAUCUUUGAACCCGGCGAUUGGGUUUGGUUACACCUGAGAACCGAGAGGUUUCCAACGAAGAGAAGUUCCAAACUAUCCCCUCGCGGCGACGGACCUUUCAAGAUAGUCGAACGAAUCAACAACAACGCUUACCGGCUAGAACUCCCAGGUGAGUAUAACGGGUCUAAAAGUUUCAAUGUCACUGACUUAUCUCCUUUUGAUAUAGGACGACCAGUUCUGAGGCCAGAACAUUUUCAAGAGGGAGGGGAUGAUGAGGACAUAGGACCGGACUUCGACGAGUGCUCGACGGACGGCCACGACCCGGUAACGAGUGACCCGACACCAACAAUCCCGACGGUCAUAGCUGGACCAAUGACCCGUUCACGGACGAGAAAGCUAAGAGAAACAUUCAAUGAAGGAGUUGAGGCCCUGAUCAACGCAACCGGCCAAACGGAUAUUCUAUCGGCCGACCCUCGACCUCCGGACGCGAGUGGAAGCCUCAACAAGUUCCAUCGACCCAACGAUGGAGAACAGACCAACCGAGGUAAGUUUCAUCGACCAAGUCCAUAUUUUAGGACUAACGAUCGAGCCGGUUUUGCAGGAAACCCCCUAGAAGCACGAGUCGAUCGAGCAUCGUCACCCGGCAUCGACGACCCGAACGCCCGAACGAUCGACCCGGACGACCCUCCACCAAACAUCAAGGGAUUCGAGAUUCAUCAACAAAGUGCUGAUUUUAAAAGUUUUGAUCGAAAGCGUUUGGAGAAACAACCCGCAGAACAUGAAGAAGCUCGACAAGUACCACCCCCGGACGCCGGAAAGCUUGUACGGAGCGAAGUCUCGAACCAAGUUGAUCCAAACAGCUUGGGCUUCGAUAAUCACUCGAUAAGUGAUGUUUCUGGAGACAACGAUCGAAGCCGAAAUGCCCACGACCGAGACGGAUUGGGAGAUGAUCGAGAGGAGCAAUACUACCGUCGUAACGGCACGUCCGAAGCCCGUAACACCGAGAAUGGAGGACAAGGCCGUAUAGGCUCGUACGAAGUUAAAAACUGCCUAGAAAACAAGAACCAAGGUGAAGAAGAAGAAGGAGAACCAGAGACAACUACGUGGCCUCUCAUUUCGUCGAAUAAGGUAAGUUCGGUUUUCAUUGUUUCCAUUUUCUCUUAAGUGUUUUGCAGGACCUAUCAACCGAACAAUUUGCGUUUUAUUUCAUAGAGUCUAAGUCCUAGAGAGUCGAACCUAAGCCUCCGACUUGUGGAGAAGGUUCACUUGUGCGAAUGACACAAGUUUCCUUUUUGGUUGUUUUCUUUAUUUUAUUUGUAACCGUUCAUUUAUUUGAGAUUGAAUCUCGACCCUCGAAGGUCAUGGCUGAAGGACUAUUAAUAAAGUCCCAUUCGCAGCCUUGUAGUCACGUUUUUAACCUAGAUCAAUAAAGUUGCAUUUUCUUCUCUUGCGCCGUUUGCGAGUUGAGAGUUCUUACGCGAGUAUUCUUGAGUGGUUUCCCCUUGAAUCAACCCGUGUGAGCUUG
rnacentral:lncRNA from 1 species